CACGUCAGAGGGUGGCGACAGCCCCAUGCCAAAGCAGCUGGGUGCUGUGUGGAGAGGAUAUGGAAGGAAUUACACGUCCACACUGAUCUUCUGGGCCACAGCCGAUUCCAGGAACAGCUAGCAGGACCCUCCGCAGGAUCUCUACAAUAAGCAUUUAUAUUUUUACAACCACAAGUUUUUAUUAUAUAUUUAACUUUAGGGUUGGAAAGAGCUUUCUGAGACUCAAUAAUCUACCCAUCACUGCCAUUGUCUGGAUUAACACUUCCUACUUAGGAAAGUUCCCUCCAUGUUAUCAGUCAUACUCAAGUGAUUUGGAUCAUGUGAGUGACAUGAAAUGCCCUGCAGCCCACUCCUUGAACUCAUGACUAUCUGCUCCAGUGAAAAGGGAGGAGGACGCUGUUUUGUAGGAUUACUUCUGCAAUGUCUCCUACCCACAAAGGUCUCUCCUCGGCGGACUCUGCAGCUAAAAGAAGUAUGCGAGUCCUGUCCGGGAGGGGCCUGGAAUGCAGCCGGGAAGAAGUCAGAUCCCCGUGGAAAUGGGAUA